rnacentral:tRNA from 1 species
AGCGUGGUGCCUGAUUAAAGGAUAGUUUUGAUAGAACUAAUCAUGUAGAACCUACCCACACUA